AAACCUCUCACCCCGUCGCUGCACCGCCGCUACUCCUGAGAGAUCGAGACGUCGCCUCCUUCUCCGUCCACCGUCUCUCGUCUCCACCUCCCCAAUCCCACCACCGCUUCCUCCCCUCCCCUCCCGCUGUAGUCGAGCAUCUCCCCCCCUCCCCAUCUCCAAAGCCGACGCAUCUACUUCCAAUCUGAUUCUCCACCGCUGAGGAGAGGUAAGAGUGGGGCGUCGAUGAGGCGGAUGAAGGAGCGGAAGGCCCCGUGAGUUGGGGUCUUGCCGGCGGAAUAUUCCAUGAGUUAUCGGCGUGGGAUGAUUAAUCCAAUAAUUAGAUGGGGUGUGAGAAUAACCUUUUCUAAUUAUAGUUGUGUUGAUCAACUCCUUGACAAAUGAUGUUUGGUGACCUUUUAAUCACAUAUAUCAUUUUAAGUUUUAGUCCUGACUCUUGGAGUGCUGGAAGUAAAAAUUAUGCAUGGAUCUCUUAUGAGAGUUUGGAUAUAGAAUCUCUUUGUGAUUUCCAGUGUUAAAUCUGGGAUUCCACUGGCCAAUAGAGGAACUGCUUCCAUCGUUUCGUCAUCUCUAAUCUACAGAGGCACUUAUCACCAUCCCCUGCUACUGCUCUCUUAUUAAGCAACUUAGUUUUACUCUUCCUCUAAUUAUCUUAGAUUGAUUAUUUGGUACAAACUUUCAGACUGCAUAAUCGUGUCCAUUUUAUCCAGGCUGCUAUGAUUUCCAACCGGUUUAGAACAUUCCAGAAUUACCUAAUUUUACUCUUAAGCGAUAAAAAAGAGAAUGCUCAGUGUUAACAAAAAAAAGGAUUGUAAAGCAGUUUCAAUAGAUCGAACUUACAAUUUUUCAUCCAACAUUUGUAAGUUUGUUGUACGUAGUACCAUAAUAAUUGAGGUUAUACAGAUAUACUGAAUGUGUAGAGCCAGUUGCAUUAUAUAGAAUUUUCUUCCUCUCAAUAGUCAUAUCUUUAGAUAGGAUUCUUCUGAACAAAGAAAGGUGUAGUUCAUAAUGUGAUCUAGAUUCUAUUAAGAAAUAAUUAAUCAUGUUGAAUUCAAGUUGUGGCAUGUUAAUUGCUUCUGCAUGUUUUCACUAGCUAUAGUAUAUCACAGGGUUUACUGCUUCUUAUAAAAGGAUGAUGAAGACACUGAACAAAAUGGAGUUUGAAGUGAAGGAUUCAGUGGUCUGGCAAAAGUAUUUCACGGCUACAACAAAUAGCAUAGUACUGAAAGGUGACCAAAUGCUGCUGUAGUGUUGUAUUUUACUACUAUUACUUGCUUUUGACCAAAUUUAAGUAAUGAAAAAUCUAGGACUAGUCGACGAUUUACUCAAAGUUUAUGAUAGUAUGCCCAUCUUUGAAUUUUAUCUGCUGGUUAAAAUAAGCUGCCAUUAGCCAGAAGAGAGGGUGUUUCUUAGCCAAUUUGACGCUAUGUCGGCUGGUAUAGCUGCUAAUGUUGUUGAGUUAAUUUUUCUGCACACCAUUUUCAUUCUUGAAAGCUCUGGUGAUAAUGUUUCCUGCAAUACAAGUAAAGAACUACCGUUUCAUAACUUGCCGUUCAAUUAGCACAAAUGUUAGUUCCUCAUUUUUUUUUUUUGCAUUUUUUCUAUGUGAGCAAUUCAUUUUUGAUGAUUAUGUAACAGGUGAACUAUGCAUAUGGGGCUUAAAGAAAGAUAUUAUGAUUCUCUUAAUACCAUUGGAUGACCUUUCUUUGGUCAUCCCGUCAAAAGAUGGAUUCAGAGCAGUGAGAGAAUUUUCUGUAGCUAGAGAUGCUAAUAUUAACUUGAGCAGUCUGGCAAACGCUUUCCUAAUUUCCCGCCAACAGAUUUUGUGCACUCUUGGCUAAAUCGCAUUGAAAUUCUUGGCCCGUAUAUAUUCUAACAGGUACUGCUGCUCAUAUAUUUCCAUAAUUCACUUCAGAGUUCUGAUCAUGGCUGGCUAUUGCUAGCAAACUAAAAAAAAUGAAUUCUUAGAAUCUGAUAUGUGAUUAAAACAACUUAUACUUGACCAGUUCAAAUCAGAAUGUAUUGGUUCAAUGUGCAUUUUUAUUCACUAUCCACUUCAUAUAUGUUCUCUGCACCAUUUUUUUUUGAGGAAAUUUCAUAUAGCUUUGGAUGCUAUAUCAAAUUGAGCCAUAUUCUCCUGCUCUACUCUGCUCAUUCCCCUAAAUUUCCAUCCAUGUUUUGUUCUGCAGAAAACGUUUUCUCCCUCAGUCUUUGUGAUGCAUUGAAUUGAACAGGAACUGAGAAGUAAUCCAGGUUGUAGCUUCUUCAGGCCACCUUUCAAUAACUGAACUUGAAAUAGAGCUGAGAAGGUCAUCAAAUUUUUCUUUAUAUUUGGCAUUAUCAUGGAUCAAUACUCAAAGGGAGAGAGCAUAUUUCACUUACUUUCCAUUGUUAACUCCUUUUCCGCUCCAUCGAACAAAUAUUGUUGUUAUUUCAGUGUCUUUCCAAUCCAAAUUAUUCUCUCCACACACGUUACGCAAAAGUAACAUGCUUAUCGGUGGACACUCAUGUUUGUGCAAAUGCAUGGCUUAGUGCUGCUAGGGGUCCUAUGAUUAUUUGAACCUUUAGUUAGAAACAUACGAUCGUUUGGAUAUAUGGUUCUAACUAACUGUUUAUUGAGUCCUAUUGUUUCUAUAAAAGAAGAUAAUUAAAUUUUAGUAAAUUUUAUAUAGGGCUAUAAACGGGAAUCCAAAGUCGCGCAACGCGAGACUAAGUGGCUAGUUAACAUGUUCAUUUACUAGUUGUGACAUGGAUAUAAGUGAAAGCAUCGCACAACUCUUCUUUAUCAAAGAAACAUUUUUUGACAAAGGUAUUUCAACAUUUGUUUCCACUAUAGGUUGCUCUAAUGUAGCAUAACUAUAGUGGACAUAGUUAGUACAUCAUAAAUAUGCAUACCUUGAGUAGUUGUAGCACCAUUAUCAUUACCUUUUUUCUCAUCUUCAGAAAUUAUAGGUGCUUGGCCAAUUGAACAUUCUUCAAGCAUGCAUGGAGCUAUGGAUAGAUCUUUUCUCUUCGUGUUUCUUCUCUUCCUCCUCAUCUUUAACGUCAGAGGUGCUGACGUAGCCAUCUUCCGUAGCAACAUAUGCCCGUUGACUAGGGCAAUCUUUAUGCACUUGGCCAAACCCUUGGCAACAAUGGCACUGAAUGCGUCCUGUCGAAGCGACGGAUGAGGCGCUCUUGGCGGGUACCUGUGAAGAACUUUUACCUGAAUCUGCUGCUCGUGGAGGAGGUGGUUUUGGCACUACAGAAACUCCGGACGCAACUGGUCGCUUGCUCGCUGGUGGGGACACCUAAAAAAAGAUGGGCUUGGGAAUCCCUGAAGAUGGCUUCGCCCGUGGCGUGUACGUGCUCGCCUUGUUCUUGAAUUGUUUAUCACGCCCCUGCAAUUCCUUCUCUGCAAGCAUAGCUAACUGAAACAACUGGUUGACAGUGUUAAAUUCCUUAUAAUCAACUAUGUCCUGAAUUCCGCGCCUCAAUCCUGAGUAAAAACGACAAAUAGAAUCCUUGGUCCCCUCCACUAUGUUACAGCGCAUUAAUCCCUUUUGUAGCUCACGAUAGUAAUCCUAUACAGAUUUAUCCCCUUGUUCUAAACGCAUCUGUUUCUUGCAUAAAUCUCUGUGAAAAGAUGAAGGAACAAAUUUAUCGUGCAUAACUAUCUUAAGUUCUUCCCAAGUAGUAGGUAAAGCACCC
rnacentral:lncRNA from 1 species